rnacentral:rRNA from 1 species
UACGGAGGAUGCAAGCGUUAUCCGGAAUUAUUGGGCGUAAAGCGUCCGCAGGUGGCGAUGUAAGUCUGCUGUUAAAGAGUGAGGUUCAACCUCAUAAGAGCAGUGGAAACUACAUAGCUAGAGUACGUUCGGGGCAGAGGGAAUUCCUGGUGUAGCGGUGAAAUGCGUAGAGAUCAGGAAGAACACCAGUGGCGAAGGCGCUCUGCUAGGCCGUAACUGACACUGAGGGACGAAAGCUAGGGGAGCGAAUGGG